ACAGAGGUUGCAAGGCGGACCGCAAGUGUUGCUUCUACAACUGCAGGCGGCAGUGUAUGGAGCCCUGGCUCAGCCUAGACUGAGCUUAUGAUAAUGAAUCACUUUCAUCUCCACAUUUCAACUUCCAGGUAGAAACCCCUUCUUAACCAGACCUGAGAAGACCCAUCCGACAGGCUCAGACCUGGAUAACUGAUCCCCAGUUCUUCCUCCAGGCUCUCCUCACUCACCAAACGUCCUUUUAUGGAGAGUUAAAUGCUUAUUAACAUGAAAGAAUGCAAAGAAAUAAAGUGUGGGGAUCCCUGGGUGGCGCAGCGGUUUGGCGCCUGCCUUUGGCCCAGGGCGCGAUCCUGGAGACCCGGGAUCGAGUCCCGCGUCGGGCUCCCUGCAUGGAGCCUGCUUCUCCCUCUGCCUGUGUCGCUGCCUCUCUCUCUCUCUCUCUCUCUCUCUCUC